rnacentral:rRNA from 1 species
GAUUAAGUUAUUAAGGGCGCACGGUGGAUGCCUUGGCACUAGAAGCCGAUGAAGGACGUUACUAACGACGAUAUGCUUUGGGGAGCUGUAAGUAAGCUUUGAUCCAGAGAUUUCCGAAUGGGGAAACCCAGCAUGAGUUAUGUCAUGUUAUCGAUAUGUGAAUACAUAGCAUAUCAGAAGGCACACCCGGAGAACUGAAACAUCUUAGUACCCGGAGGAAGAGAAAGAAAAUUCGAUUCCCUUAGUAGCGGCGAGCGAAACGGGAAGAGCCCAAACCAACAAGCUUGCUUGUUGGGGUUGUAGGACACUCUAUACGGAGUUACAAAGGACGACAUUAGACGAAUCAUCUGGAAAGAUGAAUCAAAGAAGGUAAUAAUCCUGUAGUCGAAAAUGUUGUCUCUCUUGAGUGGAUCCUGAGUACGACGGAGCACGUGAAAUUCCGUCGGAAUCUGGGAGGACCAUCUCCUAAGGCUAAAUACUCUCUAGUGACCGAUAGUGAACCAGUACCGUGAGGGAAAGGUGAAAAGCACCCCGGAAGGGGAGUGAAAUAGAACCUGAAACCGUGUGCUUACAAGUAGUCAGAGCCCGUUAAUGGGUGAUGGCGUGCCUUUUGUAGAAUGAACCGGCGAGUUACGAUUUGAUGCAAGGUUAAGCAGUAAAUGUGGAGCCGUAGCGAAAGCGAGUCUGAAUAGGGCGUUUAGUAUUUGGUCGUAGACCCGAAACCAGGUGAUCUACCCUUGGUCAGGUUGAAGUUCAGGUAACACUGAAUGGAGGACCGAACCGACUUACGUUGAAAAGUGAGCGGAUGAACUGAGGGUAGCGGAGAAAUUCCAAUCGAACCUGGAGAUAGCUGGUUCUCUCCGAAAUAGCUUUAGGGCUAGCCUCAAGUGAUGAUUAUUGGAGGUAGAGCACUGUUUGGACGAGGGGCCCCUCUCGGGUUACCGAAUUCAGACAAACUCCGAAUGCCAAUUAAUUUAACUUGGGAGUCAGAACAUGGGUGAUAAGGUCCGUGUUCGAAAGGGAAACAGCCCAGACCACCAGCUAAGGUCCCAAAAUAUAUGUUAAGUGGAAAAGGAUGUGGCGUUGCCCAGACAACUAGGAUGUUGGCUUAGAAGCAGCCAUCAUUUAAAGAGUGCGUAAUAGCUCACUAGUCGAGUGACACUGCGCCGAAAAUGUACCGGGGCUAAACAUAUUACCGAAGCUGUGGAUUGUCCUUUGGACAAUGGUAGGAGAGCGUUCUAAGGGCGUUGAAGCAUGAUCGCAAGGACAUGUGGAGCGCUUAGAAGUGAGAAUGCCGGUGUGAGUAGCGAAAGACGGGUGAGAAUCCCGUCCACCGAUUGACUAAGGUUUCCAGAGGAAGGCUCGUCCGCUCUGGGUUAGUCGGGUCCUAAGCUGAGGCCGACAGGCGUAGGCGAUGGAUAACAGGUUGAUAUUCCUGUACCACCUAUAAUCGUUUUAAUCGAUGGGGGGACGCAGUAGGAUAGGCGAAGCGUGCGAUUGGAUUGCACGUCUAAGCAGUAAGGCUGAGUAUUAGGCAAAUCCGGUACUCGUUAAGGCUGAGCUGUGAUGGGGAGAAGACAUUGGUCUUCGAGUCGUUGAUUUCACACUGCCGAGAAAAGCCUCUAGAUAGAAAAUAGGUGCCCGUACCGCAAACCGACACAGGUAGUCAAGAUGAGAAUUCUAAGGUGAGCGAGCGAACUCUCGUUAAGGAACUCGGCAAAAUGACCCCGUAACUUCGGGAGAAGGGGUGCUCUUUAGGGUUAACGCCCAGAAGAGCCGCAGUGAAUAGGCCCAAGCGACUGUUUAUCAAAAACACAGGUCUCUGCUAAACCGUAAGGUGAUGUAUAGGGGCUGACGCCUGCCCGGUGCUGGAAGGUUAAGAGGAGUGGUUAGCUUCUGCGAAGCUACGAAUCGAAGCCCCAGUAAACGGCGGCCGUAACUAUAACGGUCCUAAGGUAGCGAAAUUCCUUGUCGGGUAAGUUCCGACCCGCACGAAAGGCGUAACGAUUUGGGCACUGUCUCAACGAGAGACUCGGUGAAAUCAUAGUACCUGUGAAGAUGCAGGUUACCCGCGACAGGACGGAAAGACCCCGUGGAGCUUUACUGUAGCCUGAUAUUGAAAUUCGGCACAGCUUGUACAGGAUAGGUAGGAGCCUUUGAAACGUGAGCGCUAGCUUACGUGGAGGCGCUGGUGGGAUACUACCCUAGCUGUGUUGGCUUUCUAACCCGCACCACUUAUCGUGGUGGGAGACAGUGUCAGGCGGGCAGUUUGACUGGGGCGGUCGCCUCCUAAAAGGUAACGGAGGCGCUCAAAGGUUCCCUCAGAAUGGUUGGAAAUCAUUCAUAGAGUGUAAAGGCAUAAGGGAGCUUGACUGCGAGACCUACAAGUCGAGCAGGGUCGAAAGACGGACUUAGUGAUCCGGUGGUUCCGCAUGGAAGGGCCAUCGCUCAACGGAUAAAAGCUACCCCGGGGAUAACAGGCUUAUCUCCCCCAAGAGUUCACAUCGACGGGGAGGUUUGGCACCUCGAUGUCGGCUCAUCGCAUCCUGGGGCUGUAGUCGGUCCCAAGGGUUGGGCUGUUCGCCCAUUAAAGCGGUACGCGAGCUGGGUUCAGAACGUCGUGAGACAGUUCGGUCCCUAUCCGUCGUGGGCGUAGGAAAUUUGAGAGGAGCUGUCCUUAGUACGAGAGGACCGGGAUGGACAUACCUCUGGUGUACCAGUUGUCGUGCCAACGGCAUAGCUGGGUAGCUAUGUGUGGACGGGAUAAGUGCUGAAAGCAUCUAAGCAUGAAGCCCCCCUCAAGAUGAGAUUUCCCAACUUCGGUUAUAAGAUCCCUCAAAGAUGAUGAGGUUAAUAGGUUCGAGGUGGAAGCAUGGUGACAUGUGGAGCUGACGAAUACUAAUCGAUCGAAGACUUAAUCAA